ACUUACAGUCAUACCAUCCUGAAUACAUCUAAUUUCACCUGACCUUGGAUGUUAAAAUGGUUUGGGCCUGGUCAGUACUUGGAUGGGAGACUUCCUGGGAAUGCCAGGUGCUGUAAGCU
rnacentral:rRNA from 1 species